CCCCAUCGUGUAAUCAUCUGUUUUGCAGCUCAGAGAGAUCAGGUAACUGCUCACCAUAGAGAAGCUCCUCAAGAGACCAAGCCUGGAUAUAAAUGUUGGCCUUCUCACUCCAAAUCUUCUUCCUGCAUUCCCACAGCAGGCUCAGCGAGGCAUCAUGGGACAGAAGAGUAAACAGGAAAGGAAAGGCCAUGUGACGUCACAGUGAGAGAGCACAGACCCACAAGCCAGGAAGAGAGCUGUGACCAAAAACUAACCAUGCUGGCACCUUAAUCUCAGACUUCCAGCCUCCAGAACUGGCCCCAAGCUCAUGCACGCUCCGACCCUCUUGUGUGCUUUACCCACUCAUGGGAGAAUGGGUUCUCACAUAUCUCAGGAAGGUUAAGUGGAGACUCAUCUUCGUCAUGGGUUUGGACUCCCUUGUGAGACUCCACGGACGUAUGGGGAGGGCUCCUCCAGAGAGGGUAUGGAUUUGCUGCUGUCAAAGGGAGGCACCCCUGGACCACAUUGACAAUGUGAGCCAGAACUGCAGACCUGCACGAGGCACAGCUCCAAGCUGUUUGUUAUUGGGGCAGAUUUUUAUUUUUUCAUCCUGAACCCAGGUAGAGGUGUCUGCACUUCCUCAUCUCUCCACAUACAGGUGGCGCCUACAGCAUCUCUAAGGCUGCCACAACUGAGGCUGCACUUUAAUCAGGCGUCUUGCCUCUGGCUCCCCAGUUGCCUGGAUUCAUUUGCUGUUGACACUUCGGUGUUAAAGCUCAAGCUGUUGUUUACAAACACACCUGCCCACUUCAUCUGCCCACUUGACCUGCACACUUCACCUCCUCACUUCACCUGCCUAUCUCACCUGUACAUCUCGCCUACCCACCUCACCUGACCACUUUACCUGCCCAAAUCACCUCCCCAUCUCCCCUGUACAUCUCACCUGUCCUCCUCACCUGCUCAUUUCACUGGCAUACUUCAGCUCCCCAGCUCACCUGCCCACCUCACCUGCCCACCUCACCUGCCCACCUCACUUGCCCACCUCACCUGCCUACUUCACCUUGGAGCAGCAGCCUUGGCUCAGGGCUCCUCAUAUUUGCUUUCAAGUCUCUCUUUAUGCUUGAGACCAGAGGGUGUCCUUUCCUCCUUGGGCGUUCAUAUAUGCACCUAAAAUAGGCUUUUGUUAUCUUUCAUCCAGCAUAUCUGGGGAUAAGUUUGAGGUCUUUGGUCUGCCAUCUUGCCAGAACCACAAGUCCUCCAGAUUAAUCUGUAACACAAAUAUGACUGCAUCAUUCCCCUGCUUAAACUUUUCUGGAUUUACCCCUUCCCCUCAGGAUAAAGUUGUUACCACUUUUUGGCCACAUGACUUGUGCUGCUCCCAACGCUGGAUGGCUGUGAAUUUGAAUCUGGACCCUGCUGCUGGCUCCUCAGCCUCAAAUUUUCCCCUGUCUCUGAGCUGCAUUCACAGAGAAUCUCUCCCAAUGGCUUUUAGAAUGAUGCAUAGCAUUCCGGACCCAGUGUUUUAAUAGAUUCCAGUCAUGGGUGUA